rnacentral:lncRNA from 1 species
AGCUCUCUGGAGAAGAAGCUACAAGAGAUGACAGCAAAGCCCUUGUAGAAGAGGGAUGGGAAAUUUUCGACAGCCGUGAUGUUUACGUGUGAGUCUAUAUUUGACAUUCAGUUGACAGGAGCAUGUGUGGAGUUUCAUCCUUCCAUACCUGCUUCUUAGUUCCCUGCUUCCAGAUUUUGUUUUUUGGAAAUAAAUUUAGUUGUUCCUGCAGUUGUUUUGAAAUGUUCAUCUUCAGUCUGUUCUACAUGUUGCAUUGUUGUAUUCUAUGGAUUCUAGACUGACUGCAGAAAAAGCUGAAUUAUAUGUGCUGUAUCAAGAAUCUCUGAAACUAAUUUGUGUCAUUUCAAGAAGCAAGAAAGUAUUGCGUCUCCAGUUCUUGAGUCUCGUGAACAAUAACUGUAGUAAUUAGCUGCUUUUCAUGUGGCCACUUGCUCGGAUAUUCUACUUAUGAAGUUUAAGAAGAUUUUCCCAAAACCAUGCAGAUGCAUUAUUCCUUCGGAAUGGGAGGUUUUACAAGUGUAGAAAGUAGUAAUUUUGUGUUUUUACUUUUUCCUCAGAUGAGUGCUAUAGUCCUUGAUGAGCAAUCAUUUGCUUGACCAUGUGUUGCACUUAGAUGUUAUUCCAAUGCCUAAUGUGGCAGACGCUUAGCUGACUAGACAUUUGAGUAUCUUGGCCAAUGGUAGCUGAGGCCGCGGACUCCCAGUUCUCUGUCAGACCUUGUGUUGGCCUUGUUUGUGGUUAGACAAUCCUUGCAGGUCAUGGCUUCUUGUAUAGCUGUAUUAUCGUCAUAAACCUCCAUAUCUAAAUGCCAAUGUAUGUCCACGUGAUGUAAAGGAAGAAGUCUAAAAAUCUAGUUGAAUCUGUCUUCUUAAACAUUAACAUAAGCUCGAAUGUUAUGUGUCGAACAGCAUUAGCCCUCUUUUUGGUGGCCAAUCAAUGUGACGUGUGAUUGAGUGUGCGGAUUGGGCUAAUGUCUUCAAUUCAAGUUGUUAAUAAGGAGUCAAAGGGGACCGUUUGAUGGUUGCCGGAUGCUCUGUGUUCACUCAUUCAAAUUUUAAAUUCAAUUACUUUUAAAUUUGAUUGUGCAUUACAGUCUGUUGCAACAUGUAAACACACAGUGUGCACAGGGCUAGAAAGGAGAAGCAAAUUUCGCAUGUCUAAUAUACUGUAUUUGUUGGGAUCCUUGGAGUUCAAUCAAACAAUAAUCAUCAAUCAAUAAAGGAUAUCUAGGCUAAAUCAAAGAAAAUAAAAUGGAACAAUACAACCCAAUCUCAGCCGAAUCUGGACAGCAACUUCUCCUUGCUCUCAUGGCUGAUUUAGGCUCAGGAACAGCUUCAUGUCAUGCAAGUCACCUUCCAUAGAGAGAGAGAGAAACCGACAAAGAACCUCAACCUUCUACCAAGCAGCCACCGGACCCUCUACCUUCAAACAAGCCGAGCCAGCAAAAAAUGGAGAGAGAGUUGACUUAAGAAGAGAAGAAACGACCUGUCUACCAAAAANNNNNNNNNNNNNNNNNNNNNNNNNNNNNNNNNGGGGGGGGGGGGGGGGGGAGCCUUUUUUGUGUCAACCAUCAAGUCCAUUAAGUCAAAACAUCUCCCCCAAGACAAAUCAACCAAAAAAUAUCUCAAAUAGAUUAAAUCUCUGCCGUCGAUCUUAUCCAAUGGUCCAUAAUAAAACUAGACAAGCACAAUCUAUGUGAAUUACACAAAUAGCACUUAAGUCUAAUGGAGUUAAGACAAUCAUAUUCUCACAGUAUUGAACACGACUAGAUAGAAUUGAGAAAGAUGUAGAUAGAUUUGCAUUGUUUGUCACUUACAUAAGCUCAAAAGUCAAUUUUUACAUGUUGCUUUGUAUCUAUAUUAAUUUAGCUGAGAUCAGAACUCUCUGCAACUAUUUCACUAAACUGUACAAAGAUUUUCAGACUUUACCCAACACCCUAAAGGUCCUACAUACAUAUUUCCUGUAUCUAUUCCAACACUAUCUGCUUGAUUGUGAAUUGCUUAAUAUCAAUCAGUCAUGCCAGCAGAGCAGCAGCACUGUACAUCUCCAUAUGAUGUAAAGCUUUGCCUUCUGUUCUCUAAUCUGCUUAGAUAAUCUAUGAGUCGACCGGAGCAUCGAACUUCUCAAUGUUGCUGCCAUGAUUGAUAACAGAGUUUUUUUUUUUUCUUUAAGGGCUUUUCAGAAAACCUGAGCUUUGGGCUGGAAAGUAUUUGAAAUUCUAUUUGUGGGGAUGGAGAGUUUCUUUAGUUCUUUUGGUUUAUAUAAGAGAAAUAUUCAAGAUCUGAAAGCAGGAAAUUGUGGUGAACGACAAUCUAUGGCCCCUUUUAUGUAGGGUCGUUCAAUUAAGAUAACGAAGUAAACUUGUAGAUUGUCUCCUUGCCAACCCUACUCGAAAGUGACUUGUUAUCAACUUCUCCAGGUUGAAGGCCAUCACUUGUCAUCCCCCACCUCGCCGUAUUAGUCCAUAUGGAGUGUAAUCAUCGUGUGUACUUACCUUCUCGAUUGCAGUUAUACAAGCUCUUUUACACUAAGAAUUUCAAUGUGUUGGUUUCUUUAGACGUGAGAUGCUUGUGAGAUCACCGUACACUAUUUUUUUCAAAAUAGAGAAAAUUCGUAGUGGCAAAGUGCAGUGAAUCACUAUUUGUUAGUUUGCUGUGUGUGUUUUAUCUUUUAUUCAUUAUUAUUCUCGUAAUUAGGCAUAAAGAAUUGAGAUGUGCUACAUGUAUUUUUUUCCCCCCAUCUAUAAUCUUCUUUGUCAAUGAGGGUGUACAAAUAGCAAAACUCUAAGGAAAUUAUCUCCAAACCACCCCCAAGAUAAGUAUGUUGUCCAAAUACUCAUGGUCAAAAAUGAAUAAUGCAGUUAUUAAAUUUACCUAAUAUUAUAUUUUUCUUUUUAUGUCUAGGCUAGAAUUAAAUGGGGAAAUAAAAUAGGCAAAAGAGCUGAACAAGCUGACAGGAUAAUUUGAGAUGUAUAGAGAACAAUAAAAUAUUGUUGUGUAACUCGAUUGCCUUAACAACAUACGACAUUUGAUUCAAUUUUUCACAAAAAUUCUUCCUUGUCCCGUACCUAUUGGGUAUUGGUUCAUUUUGCGAAACAAGGUUAUUAGUUGUUUCUUUUUCUAUAAGGAUAAUUUAAAAACUCUAGUUCUAUUUAGUUUACUUAUUAGCUUGUUAUUCUUCAUAAAUAUUGUGUACAUAGAGGUUUAAUCUGUAAAUAAAAGGUUGUAAAAUAAGCUCGAAAGAACUCAUCCUAUAAGGAUUUCUUGAAGAAACUCCUAAAAAUAUCAUAUAGAGGUUGCUGAGUUCGACUCAGACUGAUCAUUAUGCAUUAUUAUAUGGUAUAUUUUUUGUGUAUUUUACACUUAAGAAUGAUGAUCAUUUUCAUUGAUCGUAAAAAAAAAUGUUAUAUGUAGAACUGAACUCAAUCCGAAUUGAAUGGUUUCACUUACGAAAUAUGCAAUGUAUAAUGAGUGAUUUCUGAUAUUGAAAUACCUUAACUGACUAUCUAUUUUCGUAGGAGUAGGUCACCACCACUUCUAUCCUAUGCUACACUAACACGUUGACAUUGAAAUAUCAAUGACUAGGCAUGUCUCAACCUGACAAUCAUCACGUGCACCGUGUCACAUUAAAUUCAACGAGAUUAUGCUCCAAGUCAAUGUUCCUACAUUAAUUGCAAUUUUCAAAUGGGCCCAAAUGUGAGCCCUCUAGCAGACAUCGUGGGUCUCUUAUCUAGCACUAUUAAAGACUUAAUACCACGACAUCUGUAUUGGGCCAUUGCCUCAUGGGCCCAUAUUGCAUAUCAUGCAAUGUCAAGGGCCCAUUCCCACGUGAUCGUGCUGAAUCAAAGAGCAGCAUGUGAAGAUUCCAAACCUUAUCUCAACAGAAAAAAGAUUAAGGUGUACCACGUGCUAUGUUGUUUGUAUCAUACAUAAAGUUGUGGUUUAAAAAAUAAAAAAGUACAAAUUAGAAAAGUUUGUAUUAUACACAGAUCUGAAAAUAGUACAUCAAGAACAUAUUAUUUACAUGAAUCCCCUAAGACUACAGCAUCAAGUGAAAAUCCUUUAAGGCUCGGACCAAGACUCCAUAACAAACAUCACAAAGACACCAAAUCUUAACCGCGAGCUCUCACAAUCCCAAAUCUACAGAGUUACUUCAACAGGACACAGAAUGAACAAAACCCCUUCGAUACAAAGAUUUCACAUAGAGAAGAAUCAUCCAAAGAAUGAAGAUCACAGGGAUGAUUCUUCAGAAUCUCACACAGAGAGAUCGAAGAAGAACAAAACUGAAAAACCCUAGUGAAGGUUCCAGAACACGGCUCACAGAAGAGAGAAAAAUGAAAAAUGACUGCCAACCCUAAAAAUGAGAAAGGGAUAUAUUUAUAGUAGAAAACAUCAGCCAUCAGAUUAAUGGGUUGAUCCAACGGUCCCAGAGCAACUACGAGAAUGGGCCGAGUAUUGGGCUCGGUUAAGCGGGUCGUCUAAGUUUAAAAGAGUGGAUCAAUCUGCUCUUUAUCUAUUCGGCCUGGAAUUUAUCAUCAUUGCCUACAAUUGGACUGAUCAUGUUGGCAUCACAGUCCAAUAGAUCUCCACCUUGAUGCCAAUGGUCAUACAAGAAGUCUAAUGAAAGUAAAACACAAGUUAUAUCUCUCUAAAAAUGUAGCUUCCCAGUACUUCCAAUAAGCAUCAGUUUCAGCACCUGUACAGAACCAAAAAUAUCUAACCAGCAUCAAUAUUCAAAAUUUGUAAACAAGACUUAAACUUGUUUAUUGGUAUUACCUUAGUCCCUACAUCAGCUGGAUUAAACUGAGUUGCAAUUUUCUCAAGUAAAAUAAGUUCUUUUGAAACAAUAUCUCUAAUAAAAUGCAACUUAACAUCAAUAUGUUUGGUUCUUUCAUGAAAAACAGGGUUUUUACAUAGGUGAAUUGCACUUUGACUAUCUGAAUAUAAGACAACAGGGUUACUUAACUCAUUUAUUUCAGAUAACAAGCCCUUAAGCCAUAAGGCUUCUUUUAUUGUUUCAGUUGCGGCAACAUACUCAGCUUCAGUAGUAAAUAAAGCAACAAUAGGUUGAAGUUGAGAUUUCCAACUAAUACAUGUAUUACACAAAGUAAACAUAUAAGAAGUAGUAGAUUUCUUAUUGUCUCUAUUUCCGACAAAAUCUGAAUCUACAAAACCCUUAAGUACAACACCUUCAUUUCAGGCACUAAAAAUCAAUCCAACAUGUGAAGAUCCUUUCAAGUAUCUCAACAGUCAUUUUAGAGCAACCCAAUGGUCAGGUCCUGGAUUUGCCAUAAAUCUACUAAGUGUGCUAAUGGAAUGAGGUACAUCAGGCCUAGUAUAUACCAUAGUGUACAUAAUAGAACCUACGACAUUAGCAUAGGGUGCAUUUUUCAUUUGUCUAAUGUCAGAUUCAUUUACAGGACAUUGCUCCUUACUGAGUUUAAAAUGGCUGGCCAAUGGAAGUGAAACUGAUUUAGAGUUAUGCAUGGCAAACUUAAUCAACAUUUUUUCAAUAUAUGCAGUUUGCUUUAAGUAUAUUAACCUAUGGUGCCUUUUUUCUAGUGAUUUCUAGAAUUCUCUUUGCAUGUCCUAGGUCUUUCAUUUCAAAUUCAGCAUUUAAAGACCGUUUUAUCUGAUUAAUAACAUGCAUAUUCUGACUAAUCAGCAACAUAUCAUCCAUAUAAAGGAGUAUAAAAGCAACAAUAGCAUUUUCAUCAUUUCUUUUAAAAUAAAGACAAUGAUCAUACUCACUUCUCAUGAAACCAAUAGUAGAUACAAAAUUAUCAAACCUUUUGUACCAUUGUCGUGGAGAUUGUUUUAAGCCAUAUAAUGAUCUUUUUAACAAGCACACAUGAUCAGAUUUAAUUUUAUCAAUGAAACCAGGUGGCUGUCUCAUAUAAAUCACUUCAUCAAGGUCACCAUGUAAGAAGACAAUUUUUACAUCCAUUUGUUCAAGUUCAAGAUCAUAAUGAGCAACAAAAGCAAGCAUAACUCUAAUUGUUGUGUACUUUAUCACAGGUAAAAAUAUCUCAUUAUAAUCUAUGCCCUCCUUUUGUGUAAAACCUUUUGCUACAAGUUUAGUCUUAAAUCUUAUGGGCAUCUUUUCAGUAUUUCCCUCCUUAAUACUAAAGAUCCACUUGCAAUCAACAAGGGCCUUACUUGCAGGUUUAGGAACUAAAGUCCAAGUCUCAUUUUUCAUUAAGGAGUCCAUUUCAUCUAUCAUAGCAGCAUGCCAAUUCUCAGAUUGUUGGCAGCUCAUAGCCUCUUCAUAAGAUUUAGGUUCUUUAAACACUAAGUCUUGAUAGGACAAAACAGCAAGAGAAAGGUAAUCACCAUACCUAACUGGCUCUCUUACUUCUCUCCUAGUCCUAUCUCUAGCUAAUUGGUAAUCCCCCAAUUCAUCAGGCCGACUUUCCAGAUUUUCUUGAACACUUUCUUCUUCAUUUUCUUGAGGAACAGAAGUUGUUCCAGUUUCUUCCUCCACCUGUUCAUCACCAACAGGUUCAGUAGGUGAGCCAAGCUCCACCUGCAGUUUGGUAUUAUCACCCUUUUCAUCACCAGAUAGCCCCUUUGGCUCCUUAUUUUCCAAACAAGGCAUUUUUGACUCAUCAAAGAUCACAUCUCUGCUGGUGAUGAUUUUAAAACCUUUUACCUCUUUACUCCAAAGCCUAUAGCCUUUAAUCCCAUCAGGAUAUCCUAAGAAAACACAUUUCUGAGACCUAGGUUCAAAUUUUCCUAUACUCUGAUGGGAGUUGGCACCACAGCCAAAAAUUCUUAAAUGAGAAUAAUCAGGAACAUGUCCUGUCCAUAGCUCUUCAGGUGUUUUAUCACCUAGAGCACUUGAGGGGGUUCUAUUAACAAUGUAUGAAGUUGUUACUACAACUUCACCCCAUAAGACCUUAGGAACUCCUGAGCCUAUCAACAUGCACCUAACCUUAUAUAACAAGGUUCUAUUCAUUCUCUCAGCCACUCCAUUCUGCUGAGGUGUAUAAGGUACUGCUUUAUGCCUUUUAAUCCCAGCACUUUUGCACAAUUGAUCAAAUUCAGCAUUGCAAAACUCAAGACCAUUGUCUGUCCUAAGGACCUUAAUUUUCUUCCCAGUUUCAUUUUCCACCAGAAUUUUCCAAGUUCUAAAUUUUUCAAAGGUUUCAGAUUUAUAUUUUAACAAAUAAACCUAAACCUUCCUAAAAUAGUCAUCAAUCAAGGACAAGAAAUAUUUAUUUCCUCCUUGAGUGAUGGUAGAUGAAGGUCCCCACAAAUCAGCGUGUAUAUACUCAAGGGUAGAGGUGGUUCUAUGUUUUCCUGUGUUAAAAUGCAGCCUAUGCUGCUUACCUAAGGUGCAGUUUUCACAAAAGGACACUUUAGAUAUAGAGUCUUUUCCAAACACACCUUUCUUAUAAAGGAUGUGUAGGCCCUUUUCACCUACAUGGGCCAAUCUCUUGUGCCAUUUUAAAGUGGCAUCAACUUCAACACUUGAAGACUCACCUAUGUGAUCAUACACUGUACUAGCUUUGAUCACAUAAAUUCUAUUUUUUUUAACACCUUUAAAAAUAACAAGUGAUACUUUUAUCACCUUCAAAAAACCAUCUCCUAUUUUUUCCUUGCAGCCCCAUAUCAUCCAGAUUUCCCAUGGAAAUCAGGUUCCUAUUUAAUUCAAGUACAUAUCUCACCCUUUCAAGGGUGUAAAUGUAUCCAUUAUCAAAUUUUAAAGUGACAUUCCCAACCCCUCAACUCUGCAGGCUAUGUUAUUGCCCAUAACUACUCUUCCUCCAUCAAUUUUUUUAAAAUUUUCUAAAUAUGCCCUUUUGGAGGUCAUAUGGAAGGUACAACCAGAAUCCAAAAUCCAUUCUUGGUUUUGGUUCUCAUCAACCAUAUUUACAGAGUUAGGUAGAUUUUCAGUCACAGCAUAUACAUCAAUUGUGGUAGAACUAUCAGAUUCUACCACAUUACCCUCAUCAACACCCUUGCCUUUUUGUUCAUUUUUCUUUUUAUAACAGUCUUUGAUAAAAUGACCAGAUUUCCCACACCCAUAACAUUUUUUAGUCCAAGUCUUUGACUUAGACCUGCCUCUACUUUUAAACUUUCUCCUAUUAUUGUUUCCUUGAUUAUUAUAGCUUUUAUGAGUACCACUAGACCUACUUAAAGUCCUCCUUCUAGCAAACAAGUUUUCAUGGGCACUAUUACCUCUCUCAGACUUAAGUUCAAGUUCCUUACUUCUUAAUGAAUCUAUAACAAUGUCAGGUGUUAGAGUAUCUCUACCAUACUUAAUGGCAGCUUUCACCUCUUUGUAGGCUUCAGGUAUAGCAUUAAGUAGUACUACCGCUUUAUACUCAUCAGAAACUUUUUCACGAGUAUUGAUAAUGUCUUGAACUAACUUAUUAAAAAUGUCUAAGCUAUCUUCUAAGUUUCUAGUUGGAUCUAUCCUAAAGCUGAAAAAUUUCUCUAAUAGAAACAACUUAUUAGGCAAAGACUUAGGUAGGUAAAGUUUCUCUAAUUCAUCCCAUAGGUCCUUAACAGUAUCAUAUUUGCCUACUUUUCUUAAAACUUGAUCAGACAAAUGCAAAAUAAUGGAGGUAUAAGCAAGUUCAUCAGAUUCUUCCUUUUGAUCAUCUGUCAUGGUAUCAAGAAAUUCAUCUAUUAUUGCUUUAGAAACUUUUUGUUGAACUAAAACACCUCGUAUUUUUUGUUACCAAAUGGGAAAAUCCCCUUUUCCAUCAAAAACACCAAGUUCAAAAGAUUUUGUCAUGUUUUAUUAUUUUGAAGGAAAAAAACUAAAACACAGUGUUUCCCCUGCAGUAAAAAUUGUUAUAACAAAUGACAGUUUCCAGAUCAAUCUCGGUUGAAACAAAACGGAACUUAUGUUCUCAAGCAGUGUUAUUUUUUCUGUUUCAUAAUUCGUCUUAAUGGCAGGAGUAAUUAGACAAACUGUUCAUCUUUAUGAUAGCUAAAAUACUUUCGCUAAGUUAGUCUUUUUUUAUUGGACAUCUACAUCUAAAAUUUAAAGCCUGUUUGUUUCUUCCAGCAGCGUGUGUUGAAUUUCUUAUUCUAUGACUUCCAGAUUCCGUUGUUAUUGUCUCUCUAUUUUUUAGUUGAAUUGCUGCACAAGUCAUAUGUUUACAUUUGAAUGGAGAAGUUUACUUCUCCUUGAAUUAACUUACAUAUAUUUCCUGGCUGCUUAAGUCCGCUUGUCCUAAUUUCUCAAAAUUUUUUUAACUGUAUGGGAUAAGCGUUUCGUGCUCUAUUAUACUAUAUUCUUUUAUGCCUGUGAUUGCUAACUUAUUCCCAAGUUGAUAGUUAGAGGUAAUCUAAACUGAUGGAGCAUUCUCCUCCCCUAUCCCUCCCUUUCUUCUAGAGGAGAGAUAGCUGUCAUAUGUCAGGAUGUGAGGCUACUAAAAGAGAAGUUUGAUGAACGAGUUCCAUUUAGCAAAUCUCUUUCUUCCAGCCAGACAAGCUGCAGAUUAGCUUCUUCUACCUCAUCUUCCAGAAGUUUGGUUCUUCUCCAGACGGAACGGGAACAGGGAUCUGACGGUGCUGAUUCAUUAGAGAACCCAAAGAGAGAUCUGGUACGUUGUUUUGACGAGCAGCUCUCUGGAGAAGACGCUACAAGAGAUGACAGCAAAGCCCUUGUAGAAGAGGGAUGGGAAAUUUUCGACAGCCGUGAUGUUUACGUGUGAGUCUAUAUUUGACAUUCAGUUGACAGGAGCAUGUGUGAAGUUUCGUCCUUCCAUACCUGCUUCUUAGUUCCCUGCUUCCAGAUUUUGUUUUUUGAAAAUAAAUCUAGUUGUUCCUGCAGUUGUUUUGAAAUGUUCAUCUUCAGUCUGUUCCACAUGUUGCAUUGUUGUAUUCUAUGGAUUCUAGAUUGAAUGAAGAAAAAGCUGAAUUAUAUGUGCUGUAUCAAGAAUCUCUGAAACUAAUUUGUGUCAUUUCAAGAAGCAAGAAAGUAUUGCGUCACCAGUUCUUGAGUCUCGUGAACAAUAACUGUAGUAAUUAGCUGCUUUUCAUGUGGCCACUUGCUCGGAUAUUCUACUUAUGAAGUUUCAGAAGAAUUUCCCAAAACCAUGCAGACGCAUUAUUCCUUCGGAAUGGGAGGCUUUACAAGUGUAGAAAGAAGUAAUUUUGUGUUUUUACUUUUUCCUCAGAUGAGUGCUAUAUUCCUU